GCAAUCAAUUGUCUUUUAAAUGGAGACCUGUAUGAAUGGCAUAACGAGGGUUCAACUGUCUCUUUUUUCCGGUCAAUGAAACUGAUCUGCCCGUGCAGAAGCGGGCAUAUUUACACAAGACGAGAAGACCCUAUGGAGCUUUAGACACCAACCAACCACGAAAAGCGACCCUGAUUGGAGCCCCAAACAACGUGAUUCUGGCAUAAGUGUCUUCGGUUGGGGCGACCACGGGAGAUAGCACAGCUCCCGAGUGGAUGGGGGACACCCUAAAACCCAGAGCCACAGCUCUAAGUCACAAAACAUUUGACCAAUAAUGAUCCGGCUUAAUGCCGACCAACGGACCAAGUUACCCUAGA
rnacentral:rRNA from 1 species